rnacentral:rRNA from 1 species
UACGAGUGCCUCAAGCGUUAUCCGGAAUCAUUGGGCGUAAAGGUUGUGUAGGUGGUCAUACUAGUCUCUUGUUAAAUUCUUCGGCUUAACCGGGGGCAUGCAAGGGAAACGGUAUGACUAGAGGAUGCGAGGGGUCUGCGGAACUCAUAGUGUAGCGGUGAAAUGCUUAGAUAUGACAUAGAAUACCAAUUGCGAAGGCAGCUGGCUACGCGAAUAUUGACACUCAGGCACGAAAGCGUGGGGAUCAAACAGG